UUCCCGCCCGCCGCUUAUCACCGCCGCCUGCCGCUCUCUAGACUCUGUGGAUAGACUUCCACCGUCCACCGUCUACGCAGCCGGGCGCUGAUCCACCGUCGUCAGGCCCUAUAAAAGGCUCCCGGCUCGCCUCUGUAGGAGCAGGCGUGGUGCUGGAAGUCUGGAACAGUGAUGGGACUGAGCGGCAGUGGUGGCGCUACAGCAACAUGACCGAAGGGGCGGCUCUCUCCUACAAAACUGGCGGUGCCCCUCCUCAUCCUGAUGUAUGUGUUGUUCUAUUUUUCACUUGCGCCUGCAGGCGGCAGCUCCCUCCACCACCCCUCCUCACCUCCGUCCCCCAGCCGCCCCCCGUACGCGCCGCCCUGCUGGUGGAGCUCACCUGCGCCGCCAUGGAUCUCGUCGGUGUUGGAGGCCUGUUCUGCAACGUUGGCCUCCCCAAGGUCCUGCUGGUGACCUGGACGCUCGCCGGCGCUGCUCCGGUUCCUCAUGCCGGUGUGAUUUAAGAACCAACCAGCGGGCACUCCUAUUAUUUGUGGUGUCCGUCCACGCGCGGCGGUGUGGUAGCUAGAGAGAGGAGCGGCGACGAGGUAAGUGAGAAUCGCGACGCGUAGAGGUCCAUCAGUGAUUCUAAGUGCGGCGGCCAAGACAAACGAGUCAUCCUAUCUGAAACCGACGGAAUUCUGUUUAAUUGGCCAUUGUUUCGUGUACUAUGCAGGGUGAUCUUUACCUCAUUUGUCUUUUGACCUGAAUAUUGUGGUUGGUUCCACGCAGCAGAUGCAGGCACAAUGCUGCGAGGUACUACACCCUGUUGCAACUCAAGUUGGCGUUGAGGAAGAAGAGGGUGGAACCUGAUGGCCGAGUGCCGCGCGCCGCCGCAAGCUCCUGAACGACCAUCUCUCGAUGGUCCGCUCCGUGGUGCGGUGGUCCCCAAGAUGAGCAAGGUCUUGUGGUCUCUUUGCCUGAUUAGGAUCCUAAUGAAGUUCGUUGGUGGCUGCAGUAAAACUGUGGUUGGGCGCUGUUGAUUUUGUGGUGGUAGGCUGUUUUUCGAUUUGGUCCACUUUGCCGGACAGGUGAUGGUCGGUGUCGUGGUUAUUCUACAGCCAAGCUGAAUAUACACCCCACCUGAACUAUCUCCAUUGUACAGAAAAAAGUUCAUCAUAAUCACUACGUCAACUGCUAAUUCUCUUCAUGGGAUCACCACUUCUAUCAAGUGGAAUCUACCGAGCCAUUGCUUCAGAUGGAGGCAGCAGCUAUUACUACCAAACCUUGAAAAGCCAUUGGAAACAACCCUGCAACCUUUUCCGACAGUAGCAGAGGUAAUUUAUAGCCUAGGUAAUCCUCAGAUUUUUUUUCCCGCAUGGUGAAAGGGAGUUUUAUUCUUAAUUGAGCAGUGUAUCAGAAUACUAGAGGAUGAAAACAAUACAGCCAAGAAGAGAGAAGGAAGACAAAUGUCAGCGGGGAAAUCAAAAAGGGGUUUGGCAGAUAUUAUUUUUACAUGUACAACAAAUUCAUCUUAUUUGCUAUUUCAAUGUAGUAUUGUUGUUUUUGCUUUUUUAUCAGUAAUUAAGUAGCCAGGGAGCUGUCUACGCAUGAAGGCUGAAAACGGAGUAAGCUACUUGCUAACAACAAGAAAGGACCAGCUUAGUUCUACACUGUAGCUUGAGUGCUUUGUAUGCACAACUAAAGCUGUGUACUGUAAUAAGACAAACUUACCACUCUACUUGGACUUAUCCAGUCCUUUUGACCUGUUGUAUAAUAUAACCAAGUUUUCAUAGAUGCAACUGGGACAUGGUUGAAAUUGUGUACUGUAAUAGUAUGGUAGGCUUGGUGCUCUACUUAUAUGUACACAGUGCUUCUGUAUGUAAUGUAAUGUAUAACUAAGUGUACAUACUCGAUGACAUGUCUAGCGAUCUAGCUUUUUCGCUUGCUAUUAAGCUGAUAAAAGUGUUCUUUUUCUACAGAUGUAGCUUGGGUUAUGACUGUUACAUGUUCGAGACACUCCUACCUCUGAUCAUUGGCCAACACAUGAUGAGUGGUGAAGCGGCAGCUACAUGGACUUACCGAUGCUCAUACAUUGUAAUGGUAAUUCACUCGUGUUCACCAUGGUGAUAAAGUGAGAGACGUGUGCUGGUGAUGCAAUUCUUACACAGAGCCAGCUUAAUCUUAGACCAUAUAUGUUCACUCAUGUGAUAGUACUAAUUCACUGAAAUAAUCCCCUUUGCAUUGCACUAUUUCGUCAAAAACCUAGUUUUAAGAUUAGUUUCAGUUUGUCCACAUAGAUUACUCAAUAGUUAUACACUUUCACCCUGAUAAUUUGGCCCUGUUGUAAGCAUACCCUCUCUUUAAUUUCUAAAAUAUACACCAUAUUUUGAUCCAUUUCUUAAGGAUUAGUUUUAAGUUUUCACACUUAGAUUGCUCAAUAGUUUUAUUGGUAAUUUGGCCCAGUUUUAAUCAUAACCCCUUUUCAUUUUGUAAUACACCAUAUUUUGAUCCAUUUCAAGAAUUCAUGCCUGAUAACAAGGCUCAUGCACCAUGGUGCUUGGGGGAGGAUCAGACCUCUUAUGUGUUUUGCCUUCAAAUAUGAUUGAGGCUAAUGAAUUCUACGAAGAAGCAAGUGAUUGUUCCAGGAAGCUACUCCCUCCGUCCCAUAAUAUAAAAACGUUUUUUACACUACACUAAUGUCAAAAACGUUCUUAUAUUAUGGGACGGAGGGAGUAUGUUACAAUUCUAUGUGUGGUCUGCUUGAGUGUUUGUCAAUAUAUCAGUAUUCUGAAAACCAUACUGGUAGCGUUUAGUUUAAUAUAUCAGUCAUUUUUACA